GAAGAGGUCCUGAGUGUUCGGACCGUCAGCUGCCAAGGACAAGGUGGCCACGCCAAAGAGAUGAGCUGGGAGCUAGUGCUGGGCAAGUUAGAGCACGUUGAUUGCAGGGUAACCGGGACGGCAGAGACUGAUGUGCGGAGUGAACAAAGGAGCCAGUGAUGCAGGGGUGCACAGACUGAAGGAGAGAAGUAUCAUAGGGAACAGCCCCACUGACCAGGAAGCCCUGGGCAGCGGUAUGUGACGCAGGUGGCCACGCCUCAACGCCAGUUGUGUUCAAAGCCAGCGGCCCUGUUUUCUCAGAGCUGCUCCAGAGCUCCCAAGUGAUGUGGCUGACUCCCUUGGCAAGACUGGCCUCAGUUUCCCUGGGACGAGCAAGUCGGAAGGUGAAGACCCAAGACAUUUCUAGAGCACUUGCUCGGGGCCAGGCACUGUCCCAGAUGCUGGAGAUGCAGCAGAGCCCAAGCAGAGAAGGUCCCUGCCUUCACGGAGCUCAUAUUCUAAUGGGAGAGACCGAUGAUGAAAGCAUGA